AUACUUACCUGGCAGAGGAGAUAUCAUGAUCACGAAGGUGGUUUUCCCAGAAUGAGGUUUAUCCAUUGCACUGUUGGUGUGCUGACCCCUGCAAUUUCCCCAAAUGCGGGAAACUUGACUGCAUAAUUUGUGAUAGUGGGGACUGCAUUUGUAUUCUCCCCU